AUUUCUUCCCUGACAAUGACGGUGCAGUGGCACGGAAUUAAUCAAUGAUUGGUGUGGCCUCUCCAUCGGGGUCGGCUCAUCGAUCUUUUAACACCCGUUAGAAAGAAACUGAGAGCCAACACACGAGCCGAUCGAUCCUGCCGCUCCGCUCCCGACGCUUCGCACUCGGUGCAUGCUGAUUUUGCUCCUGACCAGCCGGGCGGUGUACCGCGGCCAAUUUUCCAGUGCUGUGAUCAUGACUUUUCCGUGUCGACGGAUCGAUUUUCAAUUGCAUUGACAGAAUACCUGUGCAUGGGCACUUUAGAGCAGACGGACCUGCACGAUUGUUCUGUGUUUUGUUUUCUUCUUAUACUUGUUCUGAUAUUUGUAAAUAUAUCUGAAGAUCGAAACAAACUCCGAUCUUUAUGAAAUUUUGAAGGUAAGUUUAGAACGGUGUUACCCACCUACAGUAAAAUGUUCGAUUAUUUUGGAGCAAACUUUGAAUUAAACAAGUUUUGAAUUCAUAUAAAUCCUAGAAUUUCAAACUUGCUCCAAGAUAAUUAGAACUUUGACUGUAGGUGGAUAACAAACAACGUUUUAAACUUAUCCUCAAAAUUUCAUAAAAAUCAGAAUUUGUUUGGAUCUUCAAAUAAAUUUUACAAAUAUCAGAACGAGUAAUUAUAAGAAGAAACGAAAAAGCAAAUCAAUCGGGCGGGCCCGAUUGCCCUAAAGUGCCCAUAUGUAGGCAUUCUGCCAAUGAAAUUGGACCUAAGGCCCUGAGAUAAGUAUUUUCCUUCAAUAUCAUUGGCACGAAGCACGACAUGCCGCCAUGCCAUUUGUGACA